AGUAAUGCUUGGGAAUCUGGCUUAUGGAGGGGGAUAACUACGGGAAACUGUAGCUAAUACCGCGUAGUAUCGGAAGAUGAAAGUGCGGGACCGCAAGGCCGCAUGCCAUGAGAUGAGCCCAAGUGGGAUUAGGUAGUUGGUGGGGUAAAGGCCUACCAAGCCUGCGAUCUCUAGCUGGUCUGAGAGGAUGGCCAGCCACACUGGGACUGAGACACGGUCCAG
rnacentral:rRNA from 1 species